AUGCUGCCAACUGAUUUUCCUGACUCAGCUUCAGUUCCAUCACCAACAUGAUUUCCCUUCGUUCAAGCGAAUUUCCUCUCUCUUAACUAAUCAAUAUGGCAUUCCAGCCACGGAUGUUCUGGUCGCUAGUCAGGCUAAUCAGUACACUAAUGUCUCAGCCGACUGCCUUAGUCACAACUUUAUUGUAUUACAGCAAUCUUCUUCCUAGAAACUUGAAUUUAGAGCGGUUGGUUCGACCUGAAUUCCUUGAUGGAGAGAACCGUUUGUUCCUUUUUCUCAUCGAUUUCUUAAGAUGUCUCUGAGCUAUCGGGGAUCUCUUACUGCAAUAUGAUCCUUGCUGGAUCCGAAAGAAAGGGGUUGGGCUAUGAUGGUGAAGAUUGUUAUGGACGGUGGCACUGGCACAGUUGAGGGAGCUCUGGUGGUGGUGGUGCCAGAGCAGAAGUGAGUGCUAGCUCAUCGGAAAGAAGACCCCGAGUAAGGCAGCCCUGUUUGUUUCAUGAAAAUGAGAAGUCAUUUUCUAAAAGUUAAUUUCAAAUUUGUUUACAGUUAAAAAAAUCAAUAUUUUUCGGUUAAUAAAAAAAUUUAAUUUAUUU